rnacentral:tRNA from 1 species
GCCGUGGCUCAGUGGGUAGAGCAACUGCUUGGCCUGCGGAAGGUCCCAGGUUCCAUUCCUGGCAUCUCCA